AGCCCUGUAGUCUAGUGGUCAAGGACGAAGCCCUUUGGCGGCUUAAACCCCGGUUCGAAUCCGGGCAGGGCUA
rnacentral:tRNA from 3 species